rnacentral:rRNA from 1 species
UACGUAGGGUCCGAGCGUUGUCCGGAAUUAUUGGGCGUAAAGAGCUCGUAGGCGGCUUGUUGCGUCUGCCGUGAAAGUCCGGGGCUCAACUCCGGAUCUGCGGUGGGUACGGGCAGACUAGAGUGAUGUAGGGGAGACUGGAAUUCCUGGUGUAGCGGUGAAAUGCGCAGAUAUCAGGAGGAACACCGAUGGCGAAGGCAGGUCUCUGGGCAUUAACUGACGCUGAGGAGCGAAAGCAUGGGGAGCGAACAGG